GGUGGGGGCUGUUUUGU
rnacentral:miRNA from 1 species